rnacentral:rRNA from 1 species
UACGGAGGAUCCAAGCGUUAUCCGGAUUUAUUGGGUUUAAAGGGUGCGUAGGUGGCCUGUUAAGUCAGGGGUGAAAGACGGUAGCUCAACUAUCGCAGUGCCCUUGAUACUGACGGGCUUGAAUAGACUAGAGGUGGGCGGAAUGUGACAAAUAGCGGUGAAAUGCAUAGAUAUGUCACAGAACACCGAUUGCGAAGGCAGCUCACUAUGGUCUGAUUGACGCUGAGGCACGAAAGCGUGGGGAUCAAACAGG